UAAAAAUUAUGAAGAUUUAGCAAUAUGGCGGGGGUAUGAUGUAUAUUACGAUAUUAUGAUGAACUAUAUGCCCUUCUCCACCAAUGUUGUUUAAAGCGUUUGUAAGGAUACUGAUUGUUAUAAGUCAGCUGUCUGACUCUGAGAUGGCGAACGGGAACAUGGUUUGUGUAACAUUAGCAACACAUUAUUAGCUGUUGAUAACAUAGUCACAGGGAAAAAAACAUUUAAAUGUGUAAUUUUGGUGAUCAUAGAUGAGUUUUAAGGGAUAAAAUUAUUGAGGGGGACUUUAAAACUUCAUUUACGACAGUAAUGUUGUGAUGGAGUUGUGUUGUGCAGCUGGGAAGAACAAUGUUGGGGGGUGUCUACUAAACUUGGUACACAGAAUAUAAGAUGGGUUGUGAAGUAUCAGAGACCAAUGAUAACAUUUUAUUAAUAUUUUAUUUAGUGAAAAACUUUCCUAGUACCAGGAAUUGCUCAGUUAUUAAACAUUUAAAAAAAAACAAAAAAAACUAAAUCAUGUGUACUGAUGGCCUUUAACAGAAUACACCGAUUUACAACCUUGGAGCUCACGGAAGAUCUGUCUUUUAAGGUUUAUAAGUUAUCAUUUAUAUCAGUUCCCCUAUAGAGACAAUGAUAGAGUAUAUGAUGUUGUAUAUUACUAUUUCCCUCUUUUGAAAUACAGAAAAGCUGGAUUAAUUCAAAAUAAGUGAUAUAGCAUUUUAUAGGCUAAUAUAAGUGAUAUAGCAUUUUAAGUCCUUUCAUUUAGGACAAAGAUGGAUACUUUUGUGAAAUAGUGUUGAAUUGAAAAUCUUAACAAAUUGUAAACAUUUAGAUUUCUAUUGAGAUUAAAUAAAAGUUUUAUUUACACAGCAAAUAUUAUGCUUGACCCAUUAUGUUAGAGACUUUCAUGUAUAUUGUGUACGUACAUUUAUAUGAUAUAUAAUUAAUGUCAAUCAUUUUUCCAGAUGUGCAUUUAGGUUUUCCUUUUUGAACUUUCUCCACAGUGAAACCGCGAGUCAGACUCAUUCAGAAAGCAAACUCAGAUUCUGGAGGGUUUGGUGUGAGUUGUUUGGCGACAGGAUUUUACCCUCGUCACAUCAACCUGACCCUGUUCAGAGAUGGACAGCCUGUAUCUGAUCAUGAGAUCACUGGAGGAGAUCUGCUGCCCAAUGGUGACGGGACGUACCAGAUGAGGAAGAGUCUGGAGAUCAGUGCAGACAAACACAAAUACACCUGCUCUGCCACACACCUCAGUCUGGACAACAAACUGGACGUCACUUUGGAGUUUGAUCACAGGGAACCAUUUAAUUUGGUGAUUCCUUCAGUUCUGAUGGUUUUGACUCUGAUGGUGUUUGGAGCUGCAACUGCUAUAACUGCAUGGAAAAGACGACGUGCAGCUUUUGGUGUUUAGAUUCCAUUAAAAGUGCUUAUUCUACUGCUUCUGCAUCUGAAGAAAAUGAGGACACAAAAUUAAAGAUUAUGUCAGUGUCAGGAGACAAAACGACAGUGAUGAGUGCAUGGAGAAACGUCAUACAACAGCAGACAAAAUAUAUUCUGGCAAAGUGUGAUAAGGGUUUCUUUUUUUCCCCAAGAGGGUUUUUUUUUUUAUUUUUUUUUACCAGUUUUGCAUAUUCUAUUCAGUAAACUUAUGUGACUACACAACUCCUACUAUUAUUUACUGGUUAAGACCUAAAAUAUCAACAGUACUAUGUGUGCAAUUCUAGUCGUUCAUUGUUAAUCAAACCUUUUGAUUUGCUGACCUAAAAUGGAAAGCUGUAAAAAGGUUUCAUGCCACCUACUACCAUGAUUAUUCAUUUAAUUGUUGGUGUUUUAAUAGUGUAAUGUCUGUGUAUCCUUCAAUGUCACACAUUUUAUUGUUGUGAUAUUGUAUUAUUACUGUAAUAUAUUAAAAAAAUUAAAAAUUUAUUUUCUUGAGAAAGGUCAUUCUUUCAACCACAG